GGAGUUAGGAAAUGCAGGUUGGCUAAUACCCAACCUGUUUGGCAAAGGCCCCAGAGGAAGCCACGGCUAACUCUGUACCAGCAGCCGCGGUAAUACAGAGGUGGCAAGCGUUGUUCGGUAUUAUUGGGCGUAAAGAGCACGUAGGUGGUUUUGUAAGUCAGAUGUGAAAGCCUUCUGUUCAAAGGAAGAACGGCAUCUGAAACUGCAGAUCUUGAGUGUAGGAGGGGAGAGUGGAACUUCUGGU
rnacentral:rRNA from 1 species